rnacentral:rRNA from 1 species
UACGUAGGGGGCAAGCGUUGUCCGGAAUCACUGGGCGUAAAGGGCGCGUAGGCGGCUCGGUAAGCGUGUGGUGAAAGCCUGGGGCUCAACCCCGGGUCGGCCAUGCGAACUGUCGAGCUGGAGCACUGUAGAGGCAGGCGGAAUUCCGGGUGUAGCGGUGGAAUGCGUAGAGAUCCGGAAGAACACCGGUGGCGAAGGCGGCCUGCUGGGCAGUAGCUGACGCUGAGGCGCGACAGCGUGGGGAGCAAACAGG